CAUUCAUAUGUCUUGAUAAUUAUUUUAAAAUAAAAUCUAGCUUUCUAGAUAAAUGCCAAAGAAAGUGAAGAUUGAUGAUUGCAUAGAUCGAAAGUAACAAAAGUUCGUCUAUGCCGUUCUAGUUGUAUUAAACUGAUACAACUAGACGUUCCAUGUACAUAUUUAGACAUGUAAACGCGCUACAUGUGUUUAUUACAAUACAAUAAACAUAUGUGUAAUAAAAAAAAUGUUAUGUAGGUCGAAGAAUAUUGAUCAAUGAAUGUAGGUCACAAAAGACUCUUAUGCGAUGACGUAUUACAGCGCUUGACGUUGUACAUUACGUCGCUUGUUACUCUACUAUUAUUUUUGUCAUUAGUAUUUUUAUGACAUUUAAUUGAGUACUCGUGGUAAGUAAUUGCAGUUUUAAUGUUGAGGUCGGAUUUUUUGGAGCGAGAUAUUUUAGGUCAUAAUGAUUGGAGGGUGUCGCAAAAGAUCUCGGAACUUGUAGUUACUCAGAAUGAAGCCCAAGAGAGUUUGCAAGAGGAUCGAUCGGUGGCAGAACAGUAUUGUGGAUUCACUCGGUCUCGGUAACUCUCACUCGCUCUCCCUCGGCACCAACGACGUGUACGUGACCUACCACGCUCGAGCCAUGGCGAAAGAUCCACAAUUGUAAUGAGUAAUGACAUACUUGCAACACAUUUUGCGGCUUUAAAUAUUAUUUUAACUUUUAAAUUCAACUAAAGUUAAAACCUCGCUGGAUUUUU